GACGAACGCUGGCGGCGUGCUUAACACAUGCAAGUCGAACGGUAAGGCCCUUCGGGGUACACGAGUGGCGAACGGGUGAGUAACACGUGGGUGAUCUGCCCUGCACUUCGGGAUAAGCCUGGGAAACUGGGUCUAAUACCGGAUAGGAUCACUGCCUGCAUGGGUGGUGGUGGAAAGCUUUUGCGGUGUGGGAUGGGCCCGCGGCCUAUCAGCUUGUUGGUGGGGUGAUGGCCUACCAAGGCGACGACGGGUAGCCGGCCUGAGAGGGUGACCGGCCACACUGGGACUGGGAUACGGCCCAGACUCCUACGGGAGGCAGGAGUGGGGAAUAUUGCACAAUGGGCGCAAGCCUGAUGCAGCGACGCCGCGUGAGGGAUGACGGCCUUCGGGUUGUAGACCUCUUUCAGCACCGACGAAGCGCAAGUGACGGUAGGUGCAGAAGAAGGACCGGCCAACUACGUGCCAGCCGCCGCGGUAA
rnacentral:rRNA from 1 species